rnacentral:rRNA from 1 species
UACGUAGGGGGCAAGCGUUGUCCGGAAUCAUUGGGCGUAAAGAGCGUGUAGGCGGCCUGGUAAGUCCGCUGUGAAAGUCCAGGGCUCAACCCUGGAAUGCCGGUGGAAACUGUCAAGCUCGAGUCCGGAAGAGGCGAGUGGAAUUCCUGGUGUAGCGGUGAAAUGCGCAGAUAUCAGGAGGAACACCAAUGGCGAAGGCAGCUCGCUGGGACGGUACUGACGCUGGAGACGCGAAAGCGUGGGGAGCAAACAGG